ensembl:lncRNA
UUCAGCUAAAACAUGCAGAACACCCAGCAUGGAGCCUAGUCCUCAGUGGACCACUUUCUGUCAGAGGCGGCUGCGACCGGCGCACUAGGCACGGCGGAGAGGAGCUACCCCAUGUCCGAGGUCAGGGGCAGAAGCCGGGAGGACCCCACGCGCAAAGGGCAGCGGCCAAGAGGAGUUACCCCACGUCCGAGGUUGGGGGCAGCGGCCGAGAGUGCCAGGCUGCGACGGUGCAGGAACAGCUGAGAGGAGCCACCCUGCGUCCGAGGCCAGGGGCGACAGCCGGGAGGAGUGACCCCAGGUCCAAGGAGCGGUGGCUGCACGGGCCAGGAGGGCCUAGAGGAGCCAUCCCACGUUGAGGGUCAGGAAGGGCGGCGGUGAGGAGAUACCCCUCAUCCAAGGUAAGGAGCAGCGGCUGCGCCUUGCUGAAGCAACCGUGAAGAGAUACCCCAUGCCCAAGGUAAGAGAAACCCAAGUAAGAUGGUAGGUGUUGUAAGAGGGCAUCACAGGGCAGAGCAGACACACUGAAACCAUACUCACAGAAAACUAGUCAAUCUAAU